GAUGAACGCUGGCGGCGUGCCUAAUACAUGCAAGUCGAGCGAACGGACGAGAAGCUUGCUUCUCUGAUGUUAGCGGCGGACGGGUGAGUAACACGUGGAUAACCUACCUAUAAGACUGGGAUAACUUCGGGAAACCGGAGUUAAUACCGGAUGAUAUUUUGAACCGCAUGGUUCAAAAGUGAAAGACGGUCUUGCUGUCACUUAUAGAUGGAUCCGCGCUGCAUUAGCUAGUUGGUAAGGUAACGGCUUACCAAGGCAACGAUGCAUAGCCGACCUGAGAGCGUAGUCGGCCAGACUCGAACGGAGACACGGUCCAGUCUCCUACGGAAAGCAGCAGUAGGGGAUCUUCAACAGUGGGCGAAAGCCUGACGAAGCCACGCCGCGUGAGUGAUGAAGGUCUUCGGAUCGUAAAACUCUGUUAUUAGGGAAGAACAUAUGUGUAAGUAACUGUGAACAUCUUGACGGUACCUAAUCAGAAAGCCACGGCUAACUACGUG
rnacentral:rRNA from 1 species